AACGAACGCUGGCGGCAGGCCUAACACAUGCAAGUCGAACGCCGUAGCAAUACGGAGUGGCAGACGGGUGAGUAACGCGUGGGAACAUACCCCUCGGUUCGGAAUAACUCAGGGAAACUUGAGCUAAUACCGGGAUACGUCCGAGGUUUUAAUCGACCUUGGAGAAAGAUUUAUCGCCGGAGGAUUGGCCCGCGUCUGAUUAGCUUGUUGGUGAGGUAAUGGCUCACCAAGGCGACGAUCAGAGCUGGUCUGAGAGGAUGAUCAGCCACAUUGGGACUGAGACACGGCCCAAACUCCUACGGGAGGCA
rnacentral:rRNA from 1 species